UCUAGAGGCUUCGGCAAUGGGGGAAACCCUGACCGAGCGACGCCGCGUGCGGGAUUGAAGGCCUUCGGGUCGUAAACCGCUGUCGGGUGGGAAGAAUGCCUGUAUGGUGAAUACAGGAGUGACGGUACCACCAGAGGAAGCCCCGGCUAACUCCGUGCCAGCAGCCGCGGUAAUACGGAGGGGGCAAGCGUUAUUCGGAUUUACUGGGCGUAAAGGGUGUGUAGGCGGUCGUGCAAGUCUGGUGUGAAAUCUUCACCACUCAACGGGAAGAGGUCACUGGAAACUGCAUGACUUGAGUUUGGUAGAGGCUAGCGGAAUUCCUGGUGUAGCGGUGGAAUGUGUAGAUAUCAGGAAGAACACCUGUGGCGAAGGCGGCUAGCUGGGCCAAUACUGACGCUGAGACACGAAAGCGUGGGGAGCAAACGGG
rnacentral:rRNA from 1 species